ensembl:lncRNA
UCUGCAUUUACAAACUACUUGCAAAAUACCAGUUAACACCAGCAGAUGGAGACAGUCCCCUGGAAACCUGUAGCAUUCUUCACCACCAGACAGACUGAGGACAAGACAACCCCAGGUUAUUUUAAUUAAGUUUAUUGUUAUAUGGCAAUACGUUCCAGGCACUUUAAACUUCAACCAGAUCAAAGUACCUCCUCUCCUUCUCAAUGUUUUACUACAACAGGACAAUACACUUACCAGCUCCAACACUUUACAGUACAUAUAAGGAAAAACAAUGAUAUUUGCAUUAAAAACUAUACCUCGAUAAAUAUAUAUCUUCAUGUAACAUUAAGAAGUAAUAGGAAAUAUUCAAAAUAUUGUGAUUUUUAAAUACAUACAAAUUAAAUAGAUUUGUAUAAAAGUAGAAUUUAUAUCCAAUCCAUAGAAGAUUGAGUUACAAUUAUACAUUUGAGAAGGUGCGGUGUACAGAUACAGGCCCAUUAAAGGUGGUAGAGUACACAUACAGGCCCAUUAAAGGUGUGGUGUACACAUACAGGUCCAUUAAAGGUAGUAGAGUACACAUACAGGCCCAUUAAAGGUGGUAGAGAACACAUACAGGCCCAUUAAAGGUGGUAGAGUACACAUACAGGCCCAUUAAAGGUGUGGUGUACACAUACAGGUCCAUUAAAGGUGGUAGAGUACACAUACAGGCCCAUUAAAGGUGUGGUGUACACAUACAGGCCCAUUAAAGGUGGCGGUGUACACAUACAGGCCCAUUAAAGGUGGCGGUGUACACAUACAGGCCCAUUAAAGGUGGCGGUGUACACAUACAGGCCCAUUAAAGGUGGCGGUGUACACAUACAGGCCCAUUAAAGGUGGUAGAGAACAUAUACAGGCCCAUUAAAAGGUGGUAGAGAACACAUACAGGCCCAUUAAAGGUGGUAGAGUACACAUACAGGCCCAUUAAAGGUGGUAGAGUACACAUACAGGCCCAUUAAAGGUUGUAGAGUACACAUACAGGCCCAUUAAAGGUGGUAGAGUACACAUACAGGCCCAUUAAAAGGCGGUAGAGUACACAUACAGGCCCAUUAAAAGGUGGUAGAGUACACAUACAGGUCCAUUAAAGGUGGUAGAGUACACAUACAGGCCCAUUAAAG